rfam:Glossina fuscipes fuscipes unplaced genomic scaffold Scaffold12, whole genome shotgun sequence.
GGUAGUUUUUAGUACGUACGCGUCAUGGAUAGCGAAUCGUGCAUGCUGCUACUAAGAGCAUCUUUUGAAGAUUUUUUACC